AGCGGUAGCACAGGGGAGCUUGCUCCCUGGGUGACGAGCGGCGGACGGGUGAGUAAUGUCUGGGAAACUGCCUGAUGGAGGGGGAUAACUACUGGAAACGGUAGCUAAUACCGCAUAACGUCGCAAGACCAAAGAGGGGGACCUUCGGGCCUCUUGCCAUCAGAUGUGCCCAGAUGGGAUUAGCUAGUAGGUGGGGUAAUGGCUCACCUAGGCGACGAUCCCUAGCUGGUCUGAGAGGAUGACCAGCCACACUGGAACUGAGACACGGUCCAGACUCCUACGGGAGGCAGCAGUGGGGAAUAUUGCACAAUGGGCGCAAGCCUGAUGCAGCCAUGCCGCGUGUGUGAAGAAGGCCUUCGGGUUGUAAAGCACUUUCAGCGAGGAGGAAGGUGGUGAGCUUAAUACGCUCAUCAAUUGACGUUACUCGCAGAAGAAGCACCGGCUAACUCCGUGCCAGCAGCCGCGGUAAUACGGAGGGUGCAAGCGUUAAUCGGAAUUACUGGGCGUAAAGCGCACGCAGGCGGUUUGUUAAGUCAGAUGUGAAAUCCCCGGGCUCAACCUGGGAACUGCAUUUGAAACUGGCAAGCUAGAGUCUCGUAGAGGGGGGUAGAAUUCCAGGUGUAGCGGUGAAAUGCGUAGAGAUCUGGAGGAAUACCGGUGGCGAAAGCGGCCCCCUGGACGAAGACUGACGCUCAGGUGCGAUAGCGUGGGGAACAAACAGGAUUAUAUACCCUGGU
rnacentral:rRNA from 1 species